GAAGGCGGGGGACCCGGGACUUCCAAGUGUCCAAAAACAAUCCAUUGAUACACUUGGUGACAUUAAUUGAGAAAAAAACAAUAUGGUCUGGCCAUGGAGGCAUGGUAUCCGUAACAUCCCCCAAAGGAGCUAAAGAAGAAAUCCACAAUUUACCAUGAGCAUUUCUCGUCUGAAGAUUGCCAAGCGAUUCCUCCAGGACAUUCCUCAAGAUCAAUUUCUGUUCAUCCACCUUGUCCUGGGAGGGACAUCAAUGGGUUUCCAUGUCCUUUGGCUUCUGGUUGAGUUCACUCAGUGGAGAACCCUGGCAAGAGGCAGGAAAAGGGGAGGAAGGCUUUAUGAUACAUGUGUUGAAUGUGCAGGUUCGUUACAUAGGUAAAUGUGUGGCAUGGUGGUUUGCUGCACCUAUCAACCCAUCACCUAGGUAUUAAGCCCUGCAUGCAUUAGCUAUUAGUCCUGAUGCUCUCCCUCCCCCGCACCCCCUAGCAGGUCCCUGGUGUAUGUUGUUCCACUCCCUGUGUUCAUGUAUUCUCAUUGUUCAACUCCCACUUAUGAGUGAGAACAUGCAGUGUUUGAUUUUCUGUUCCUGUGUCAGUUUACUGAGGAUACUGGCUUCCAGCGUCAUCCACGUCUCAGUAUAGGACAUCAUCUCAUUCCUUUUUAUGGCUGCAUAGUAUUCCAUGGUGUAUAUGUAUCACAUUUUUCUUUAUCCAGUCUACCAUUGUGGGCAUUUGGGUUCAUUCCAAGUCUUUAAUAAGGGUUUGGUCUUACC
rnacentral:lncRNA from 10 species